GCCAGCUCCACACUGCAAGACUUGACGUACAGUAGUCUUGUGAGACGAGACCUGAAGUUAGUUUUGUUCUUACGUUUUAUUUUCGUGUGUUAACUGAGCUACAGCUGUGCUGGAGUUAAACUGUAAUAUACAGUAGUAACUAGCUGGAACAGAGCUGUAUCUUCCAGACUGAUGCAUUAAGCCUGGCUACAGACCCCAAGGAACAGAAACAGUUCCAGGAGACAAGACUCAUCUGAGCAAUGGGAUCUGGUCGCAGUAGAAACAAGAUUCCUGAGGAAACUAUACUCCUGGUUGAAAGAAAAGAAAAGGAGAAAUGGAGACAUAAGGGGCAUAAGGAGUGUGAGAGAAGAAUAAAAGAGCUUGAACAACAGAAUAAAGAGCUGUGUGAUGAGAACAUGAGGAGAAUAGCAGAGCUUGAACAACAGAAUAAAGAGCUGCAUGAUGAGAACA